ACUCCUACGGGAGGCAGCAGUGAGGAAUAUUGGUCAAUGGGCGCAAGCCUGAACCAGCCAUGCCGCGUGCAGGAUGACGGUCCUAUGGAUUGUAAACUGCUUUUGUACGGGAAGAAACACUCCUUCGUGAAGGAGCUUGACGGUACCGUAAGAAUAAGGAUCGGCUAACUCCGUGCCAGCAGCCGCGGUAAUACGGAGGAUCCAAGCGUUAUCCGGAAUCAUUGGGUUUAAAGGGUCCGUAGGCGGGCCGGUAAGUCAGGGGUGAAAGUCUGUAGCUCAACUAUAGAACUGCCUUUGAUACUGCCGGUCUUGAGUCACGGUGAAGUUGCCGGAAUAUGUGGUGUAGCGGUGAAAUGCAUAGAUAUCACAUAGAACACCGAUUGCGAAGGCAGGUGACUAACCGUGUACUGACGCUGAUGGACGAAAGCGUGGGGAGCGAACAGGAUUAGAUACCCUGGUAGGAUAGCGU
rnacentral:rRNA from 1 species